UAGGGAAUCUUCGGCAAUGGGGGGAACCCUGACCGAGCAACGCCGCGUGAGUGAAGAAGGUUUUCGGCUCGUAAAGCUCUGUUGUUAAGGAAGAACGAGUGUGAGAAUGGAAAGUUCAUGCUGUGACGGUACUUAACCAGAAAGGGACGGCUAACUACGUGCCAGCAGCCGCGGUAAUACGUAGGUCCCGAGCGUUGUCCGGAUUUAUUGGGCGUAAAGCGAGCGCAGGCGGUUAGAAAAGGCUGAAGUGAAAGGCAGUGGCUCAACCAUUGUAGGCUUUGGAAACUGUGUAACUUGAGUGCAGAAGGGGAUGGUGGAACUCCUUGUGUAGCGGUGAACUGCGUAGUUAUAUGGAGGACCACCGGUGGCGGAAGCGGCUCUCUGGUCUGUAGCUGCCGCUGAGGCUCGAAAGCGUGGGGAGCGAACAGU
rnacentral:rRNA from 1 species